GCCAACAGAUUUACCGCGCGUAGGAAUGCCGGGUUUCAUGGCUCAAUCUCUUGAGUGCUUCAUGUGUUGUCGCAUCCUUUAAGGCGGGAAAGGAUUUUCCAUGAGUAAUUAGAGCAUUAUCCCACGUACCUCGUCAACCAGCAAACAUAGCCGGCACCUGCCCGAACGGGGCGCGCUUGGGGUACGAAGGAUUAUGCGAAGUGCUCUGGGCCGAUAACCGGCGAGAUGAUGCCCACCGUGCCACACGCUCAUGCGCUUCUUCAGAUAUUAAUCCUAAAAAAAGCCUAAUAAGACUCGGCUCAUCGUU
rnacentral:lncRNA from 1 species